UACUCCUAGGUUUCUUUCUUUGCACAUCACAAACCAGUAAAAAUAUACGCCAAAACGCGCCGCCGCAAGCUCGCCACUCUGAGCCGCCGCGCCGCCGCCGUCGCAGAAUCGAAGGUGGUGGCGCCAUCAUCGGGCUGGUAGGCACACGACCCACUCCUCCUCCUCCUCCUCGGCCAUGGCAGGGCCAUGGCCCCUCCUCCGGUCGUUCCUGAGGAACUGCGUCGCCGGAACCCUCGUCGUCGUCACCGUCAACGACCGGUACGCCUCCGUCAUCACCGUGCGUGGCACCUCCAUGAACCCCACCUUGGAGUCCCAACAAGGUGACCGCGCGCUGGUGAGCCGGCUCUGCCUCGACGCCCGCUACGGAUUGUCCCGCGGCGACGUCGUCGUCUUCCGGUCGCCGACGGAGCACCGGAGCUUGUUGGUGAAGAGGUUGAUCGCGUUGCCCGGCGACUGGAUCCAGGUGCCGGCGGCUCAGGAGAUCCGGCAGAUACCCGUGGGGCACUGCUGGGUGGAAGGGGAUAAUCCUGACGUCAGCUGGGACUCGCGAAGCUAUGGCCCUAUUCCUCUCGGUCUGAUGCAGGGGAGGGUCACACACAUAGUCUGGCCACCAAAUAGAAUUGGCCCAGUUGAGAGAAAGAUGCCAGAAGGAAGAGUAAUGCAGCGAUGACUUUUGAAUCUCUUGUUAGGUUGGCUAAUACAGUUUUUCCCCAACUGGAGUAGGAUACAGGUUCAGAAGCCUCAAGAUUAAUUGUACUAUCAAAGACAGUGAAGUAAGAAUGUCAUGGUCAUUGGGAAUUUCAUUCCUAAUGGCACUGAAGUUGAUUCUCCUUCCAGAGUUCGUUGCAGAAUGCAUGCCCUGCAGAUCGUCAUGUUGUUGGAAUUUUUAAUUGGACUUACCAGGUUCUCAGGUAAUUAUACAAUUCUUCUCUUUUGUUAAAAGAAAACCAUAAUUGUUUCAUCCAGCCCUUAAAAAACCUUCAAAUUCUUUUUGAAAUUAAACUAAGCGAGCUAUUAUCAAUCGAACUAAAGUCAAACUUUAUAGUGCUUAUAAAAUAUUAUAAGUUUUAUCCCAUUCAUAGAAAGGAAAUAAAAUGAGAAUCUUUGCCUAUAUCAUGACUAGGGUAAAAUUUGCAGACUGAAAAGCCUGGAUCUGCAGCUUUAAUUUUCCUUCUUUAUAUGAGUUGGCAAGUGUUCUCCAAGCAAUCUAGAUUUGUCUACAUUUCCUAACAUAUCGAAAUUCUAUACGAGUGUCGUGCUGUUCAAUAGAUGCAUUCUUUUCUGCCUUGUAACCUAAGACUUUGGUUUCAUUGUUCACCUUAUAGAUAUCUCUGUACGUGUUCUGUAGUUAUCUUUAACAAGUAGCCAAUGCUUUAAAGGCUUCUUCAAGAAUAUGAUAUAAAAAAGGUGGAUAUACUAUUCCCGUCGACUUUGUUCUAUAUAUGAUAUCACGGUAAAUAUUUUUGCUUCUGUUCAGUGAUGAAUGCUUGCUUUAUAAAAUUUAACCUAUUUAAUUCACGGCCUAUAGUGUGCCUUUAAUUGUAGAUUUCUGCUUUCUUUUUGGCUUAGACAUAACAAUGGGUUUCAUUGAGCAGGUAAUUUGGUCCAGGUUGUAUCAUAGCAUUUCACACCCCUUUUACUUGCAGUAGAAAUGUCAGAGAGGGACAUCACCAUAUCCUCAAACAAUUAAGUUCCAAUUAACUGAAUCACUAAAGUUGUUUUCUGUUCAAAGGCUAUGCAAGUGCAUCCUUAGAAACAUUUGUUGCGGCAUUAGCAGGAUGCCGCAUCAAUCACGUAUAUAAUUUAUCUCCAUUCUCCAGUCUUUUGGAACUAAAUAGUCUCACACCAUGGAGUUCUGGAAAUCUACAGAGGUGAUCACGUGAUUAGUGGAUCAUAUCAAGGAACACAACUAAACAAUUGCCAUAGAGAUAUAAUAACAAUUUACUAUAAGCCCCGAUAUGAUUCAUUUUUAAUUAGUUGCAUUUUAACUAGCCAUUAGCAGAGGUGCUGCAGGUGGAUACUACAUAUAGAUAGUACUUAUUUGCAGAUGAUAUUGUGGACUAUGCAUACAUGGAACUAAGGAGAAAAACAACAGAGAAUGUUGGGCUAUAUAUUCAGGUGUACCUUCACAAAUGGGCAAACAUCUCCCAGGUGUAUGCUCCCCAGUUUUGCAAAGGAAAUUAUGUGCUCAGCUGUGUUCAUCCUUCCUCUGCUCCAAACACAAGUAGCCAUCAUGAGCUCAGCUGCUGAAAAUGCCUCCAGUGAUCUAAAGCGCUAGUAAGCAUGAUCGGUGACAAAGACAGUGUCCAACUUGUGACAUCUAUCAAUGCAGCACCACUUUAGACGAAGCCAUCUAACUUCUUCUAUCUCCUGACAGCAACAUGUGUUUAGGAUUGACAUUGGUGAUGGAAGAAUUGUCAUGCAGAUGCAACGAAUCGACCCUGUUCAUCAGAAUCGCUACGGCACUCAACACUUGUUCAUUGGCCACAUUAGCAUGGCUUACUCCCUCUCCAAUCUCCAAAUGGUGCUACACUAUUGGCAUAAUCAGGAUGCUCAAUGACUAUCAUGUCCAAGUUGAUAUCCUCAUAGUUAUCAUCUCCUUUUUGAGUUCUGUAUUUUUUGGGGGCCGAAGAGUUGCAGAUAGUUAGAUGGAUAUCUUUGUUACAUUUUUAACCUGUUCCAUUAAAAUUGGAAAAUAGAAACUCGAACUUAAAAAGAAAGGAGAGGGAGAUCAUAGGUUAUUCUGAUAAAUGUGGAAUUACAUAGAGAGAGUCCAUCUAUAUAGUUCAGUGACAGCACAAUCUGAAGAUACAUAAUUUGUAAUGGGGAAUUAAAGUACAAAUUGAAAAUUUAUUUAGAGUAUAGCAAUUUCGUUCAUCAAAUACUCAAUGCCUAGGUUGAUUAUCCAAG